rnacentral:rRNA from 1 species
AGGAACCUGCCUUGGAGUGGGGAAUAACAGUUGGAAACGACUGCUAAUACCGCAUGAUGCGAUUGUCUCGCAUGGGACUGAUCGCCAAAGAUUUAUCGCUCUGAGAUGGCCUCGCGUCUGAUUAGCUAGUUGGUGGGGUAACGGCUCACCAAGGCGACGAUCAGUAGCCGGACUGAGAGGUUGGCCGGCCACAUUGGGACUGAGACACGGCCCAGACUCCUACGGGAGGCAGCAUG